rnacentral:rRNA from 1 species
UACGGAGGAUGCAAGCGUUAUCCGGAAUGAUUGGGCGUAAAGCGUUCGCAGGUGGCUAUUCAAGUCUGCUGUCAAAGACCGGGGCUUAACCCCAGAGAGGCAGUGGAAACUGAAUGGCUGGAGUGCAGAUUGGGUAGAGGGAAUUCCCAGUGUAGCGGUGAAAUGCGUAGAGAUUGGGAAGAACACCGGUGGCGAAAGCGCUCUGCUGGACUGCAACUGACACUGAGGGACUAAAGCUAGGGGAGCGAAAGGG